rnacentral:rRNA from 1 species
UACGAAGGGGGCUAGCGUUGCUCGGAAUCACUGGGCUUAAAGGGUGCGUAGGCGGCGCGGAAAGUGGGGUGUGAAAGCCCUCGGCUCAACCGAGGAAUUGCGCUCCAAACUACCGUGCUUGAGUGAGACAGAGGUAAGCGGAACUUCGGGUGGAACGGUGAAAUGUGUUGAUAUCCGAAGGAACACCGGUGGCGAAAGCGGCUUACUGGGUCUCAACUGACGCUGAUGCACGAAAGCCAGGGUAGCAAACGGG